rnacentral:rRNA from 1 species
AACGAACGCUGGCGGCAUGCCUAAUACAUGCAAGUCGAACGAGACCUUCGGGUCUAGUGGCGCACGGGUGCGUAACGCGUGGGAACCUGCCCUUAGGUUCGGAACAACUCCCCGAAAGGGGUGCUAAUACCGGAUAAUGUCUUCGGACCAAAGAUUUAUCGCCUUUGGAUGGGCCCGCGUUGGAUUAGCUAGUUGGUAGGGUAAAAGCCUACCAAGGCGACGAUCCAUAGCUGGUCUGAGAGGAUGAUCAGCCACACUGGGACUGAGACACGGCCCAGACUCCUACGGGAGGCAGCAGUGGGGAAUAUUGGACAAUGGGCGAAAGCCUGAUCCAGCAAUGCCGCGUGAGUGAUGAAGGCCUUAGGGUUGUAAAGCUCUUUUACCCGGGAUGAUAAUGACAGUACCGGGAGAAUAAGCUCCGGCUAACUCCGUG